rnacentral:rRNA from 1 species
AACGAACGCUGGCGGCAGGCCUAACACAUGCAAGUCGAGCGGGCGUAGCAAUACGUCAGCGGCAGACGGGUGAGUAACACGUGGGAACGUGCCCUUCAGUUCGGAACAACCCAGGGAAACUUGGGCUGAUACAGGAUACGCCCCGGACUUGAUCCGGGGGAAAGAUUUAUCGCUGAAGGAUCGUCCCGCGUCUGAUUAGCUGGUUGGUGAGGUAAUGGCUCACCAAGGCGACGAUCAGUAGCUGGUCUGAGAGGAUGAUCGGCCACACUGGGACUGAGACACGGCCCAGACUCCUACGGGAGGCAGCAGUGGGGAAUAUUGGACAAUGGGCGCAAGCCUGAUCCAGCCAUGCCGCGUGAGUGAUGAAGGCCCUAGGGUUGUAAAGCUCUUUCGGCGGGGAAGAUAAUGACGGUACCCGCAGAAGAAGCCCCGGCUAACUUCGUGCCAGCCGCCGCCGUAA